rnacentral:tRNA from 1 species
GCAAAGUGGCCGAACUUUAAGCAAUAGACUGUAAAUCUUUUCAUGGGUAUUACCCCUUUGCA